UCAUUUUCAAAUUCCGUAACAUAUAGCCUCAUUUUCAAAUUUUGUAACAUACAGUCUUCUUUGGUAAUAUGUACUCAUGUUUUAACAAUUAGCUCGUUAAUUGUAACUAGCUAGGGUAUGUUUUCGUAAUCUAAUAUUAUUGGAUUCAAUCCCGGCACUACAAAAAAAGUUUCUACUAGUGACAUGAGAUUUGGUAGCUAUUAUGCAUGUCACAAAAAUUAGUGACAUUUGAAAAUGUAACUAUUAGUGAUUAGCUACACCAUCAAAUACCACUAAUUUUUAUGACACACAUAAUAGCUACCAAACCUGACGUCACUAGUGGAAACUUUUUUUGUAGUGCGGAAGCAGCUAUUCCCUACUUCUUAAUUAGGGCAUAAUACAACAAAAUUCUGAUCGAGUAUGUGCAUCUGUAUAUACUAGCAACAUGAAUAUCCAAUUUCAACUAGAAGAAAUAGAUUGUCAACAGAAAAGUAAAACUUACUGCAUGUGAAUGUACAUAAUAAAAAUCUGAAUCUAUUACCUUAGAGAACGUGUAUGUCUUUUUAAUUAGAACUAGUUAAAUGUGUGUGUGUGUAUAUGUAUAGACUGAGGGCGAUUCAAAUAUAAACACUUCUUAUUCUAUAAAGGUGCAUGUGUGUGUUAUCAAGCCUUUUAUGUCGAAGCUGCUUUGUUUUCUUGGCACACAUACAGCUGCAGUUUAUGAAAUUCUAUAUAUGCAUAUAUAUUGCAGGAGAAAUUUCAUUAAGCAACAUAUAGCUGAAAUCAUUUAUGGAACAGGGUGUGCCUCCUACCAUAAAUAAUAUACGCCUCGUUAAAAAAAAUACGCAAUUAUCUUUACAAAUACACACGAGAUGCAUCCAGUUCGAAGAUGGGUUGAUUCUGAUGAAAAACUCAUCUAUAUAGUAUUACUCUGAUCAAGAAAAUGUACAUUGCAACAAAUUGAAUCCAAUUACUGAACUGCACGAGGCUAUAUAUAAACCAAUCAUUUAAUUAUAUAUGGAAACUGAGUCUAGCUAUAAACCAAUAAUCUGUAUGAUAAAAUGCCUCAAUAUUAUAUAUAUAGAGAGAUAUAUAGCCAGAUCUAACUAACUAGCUAUAAUGUGAAGUAUAACUAGCUAGAUUCCAAAUAAACUGAUCUAAUUCCCGUGCUACCCAUUAUAUAAAAUCAAUGCAUCAUUUGGAACCACUGGUAGAGAAAGAUCCAAUCCAAUGGUGAUGAAUUGUUCUGAUCAUGAAAUGCAGUAUUAAUAUUUGAUGGCACAACGAAAUUAUGUGCAUGAAUGUUAAUUAAAAANAAAAAAGAAGAUUUGGAGAAGAAAUUAAUUUAAAUGAGUUAGUGAGAUUUGAUGUUGAAGCAGGACAUUAGAAUUGAUAAUUGGGUAGGUGUGGUGUAGUUGAGAGAAGCAAUAAGCAUUGAUAGCUUUGUCACAAAACUUCACCACCUCUCAUGAAUGGACAAUCAUGAGUUUCAGUUAUGAUGUAUGCAUCUAUAUAUCUAUGUGAGGUGUGUGUGUUUCUUGCCAGUUGCUAUAUGGAAGCACAAAAUAAGCCCCAAUCUUAGCAGAAAGUGACAAAGGUUAACCCUUUUCACGGAAAUGAAUGAACAUUUGUGCGUGUGUGUGUGUGAGAGAGAGAGAGCAGGAGAACAAAAAGCAAACGAUGAAAUGUCAAUUAUUGAUGAUAAAGAAGGGGGAAGCGAAUGGAAUCUUCUCUGCUACAUCUUUCAGUUUAUCUUUUCACCAUUCUCACUAACCACAUGCACCUCUCAGAAAACAAGCAGUAAAAAGAUUUUUAAGAAUUAAAGAGCAUUUCCAACAGUAGUGGUAACUGGUAACUAAUUAACAGUGAUUUAAUUACCAUGGUAAAUACUAAAUACUCCAAAUAACAUAUACGUAUUAUUGCUAAACCUUCUAACAACGGCCGGCUUCAUCAACAUCCCUCCACUUCUGGAAAAUUCGUUAAAUGUUUGCAAAAUGAGUAAAUCAAAGAAAUCCAACCGAUAGAUAUGCUUAUAUUUUGCAGCAUGAAAGUAAGAUUUAAUUACACGAAUCGUAUUAAUUCAGAAAGUUUACCAUGGAGAUCGGUGGAGAAGUGAAUCUGCGGCAGCACAGAAGAAGGGGCCUUCUGAGAUUGCAGUAAAAAGUCCAGAAUUACCAUGUUUUCCCACAGUUUUCUUGAACUUAUUUACCAUAUGAUUU
rnacentral:lncRNA from 1 species